CGGAGGGAAACCGAGUCUUAACCGGGCGUUAAGUUGCAGGGUAUAGACCCGAAACCCGGUGAUCUAGCCAUGGGCAGGUUGAAGGUUGGGUAACACUAACUGGAGGACCGAACCGACUAAUGUUGAAAAAUUAGCGGAUGACCUGUGGCUGGGGGUGAAAGGCCAAUCAAACCGGGAGAUAGCUGGUUCUCCCCGAAAGCUAUUUAGGUAGCGCCUCGUGAAUUCAUCUCCGGGGGUAGAGCACUGUUUCGGCUAGGGGGCCAUCCCGGCUUACCAACCCGAUGCAAACUGCGAAUACCGGAGAAUGUUAUCACGGGAGACACACGGCGGGUGCUAACGUCCGUCGUGAAGAGGGAAACAACCCAGACCGCCAGCUAAGGUCCCAAAGUCAUGGUUAAGUGGGAAACGAUGUGGGAAGGCCCAGACAGCCAGGAUGUUGGCUUAGAAGCAGCCAUCAUUUAAAGAAAGCGUAAUAGCUCACUGGUCGAGUCGGCCUGCGCGGAAGAUGUAACGGGGCUAAACCAUGCACCGAAGCUGCGGCAGCGAACGUAUCACCCAAGACAACUUUACGGAGUUGACGAUUGACGGAGCGAAGCGACGUCAAAGCGUUCAUUAAAGUCGAGUUGGCUUAGGGAUACGUUCGUUGGGUAGGGGAGCGUUCUGUAAGCCUGUGAAGGUGUGUCGUGAGGCAUGCUGGAGGUAUCAGAAGUGCGAAUGCUGACAUAAGUAACGAUAAAGCGGGUGAAAAGCCCGCUCGCCGGAAGACCAAGGGUUCCUGUCCAACGUUAAUCGGGGCAGGGUGAGUCGACCCCUAAGGCGAGGCCGAAAGGCGUAGUCGAUGGGAAACGGGUUAAUAUUCCCGUACUUGGUGUUACUGCGAAGGGGGGACGGAGAAGGCUAUGUUGGCCGGGCGACGGUUGUCCCGGUUUAAGCGUGUAGGUGUGUGUUCCAGGUAAAUCCGGUUCACUUUAACACUGAGGCGUGACGACGAGGCACUACGGUGCUGAAGCAACAAAUGCCCUGCUUCCAGGAAAAGCCUCUAAGCAUCAGGUAACAUCAAAUCGUACCCCAAACCGACACAGGUGGUCAGGUAGAGAAUACCAAGGCGCUUGAGAGAACUCGGGUGAAGGAACUAGGCAAAAUGGUGCCGUAACUUCGGGAGAAGGCACGCUGACACGUAGGUGAAGUGAUUUACUCAUGGAGCUGAAGUCAGUCGAAGAUACCAGCUGGCUGCAACUGUUUAUUAAAAACACAGCACUGUGCAAACACGAAAGUGGACGUAUACGGUGUGACGCCUGCCCGGUGCCGGAAGGUUAAUUGAUGGGGUCAGCGCAAGCGAAGCUCCUGAUCGAAGCCCCGGUAAACGGCGGCCGUAACUAUAACGGUCCUAAGGUAGCGAAAUUCCUUGUCGGGUAAGUUCCGACCUGCACGAAUGGCGUAAUGAUGGCCAGGCUGUCUCCACCCGAGACUCAGUGAAAUUGAACUCGCUGUGAAGAUGCAGUGUACCCGCGGCAAGACGGAAAGACCCCGUGAACCUUUACUAUAGCUUGACACUGAACAUUGAGCCUUGAUGUGUAGGAUAGGUGGGAGGCUUUGAAGUGUGGACGCCAGUCUGCAUGGAGCCGACCUUGAAAUACCACCCUUUAAUGUUUGAUGUUCUAACGUGGACCCGUAAUCCGGGUUGCGGACAGUGUCUGGUGGGUAGUUUGACUGGGGCGGUCUCCUCCUAAAGAGUAACGGAGGAGCACGAAGGUUGGCUAAUCCUGGUCGGACAUCAGGAGGUUAGUGCAAUGGCAUAAGCCAGCUUGACUGCGAGCGUGACGGCGCGAGCAGGUGCGAAAG
rnacentral:rRNA from 1 species